rnacentral:lncRNA from 1 species
CACUGGACUCCGCUCGCCGGGAGGGCCGAGGCUCGCCGCGGAGCGCGCCGCUGGGUCCCGGGGCCCCCACGUGAGUCUGCGCGCGCUGGCGGCGGAGGGGGGCGCGCCCCUCACCCCGGGACAAAGCGCCGGGGCCGCGCUCGCGGGUGCGGGGACCGGGCUGGCCUGGGGCUGCUUCCGCCCGGAGGAAGGGACCGCACAGGCCCCAGUGGCAGCGGGCCGCAGGAGAGGCCAGCGGGACGCAGGAAGCCGGGGUCUCCCAACGCCAAGCGGAACCGCGCCGUCCGGCCGGCCUCCCUCCCUCCUUCCUUCCUUCCUUCCUUCCUUCGUGUGGCGCUUGGAGCGGUCAAUUACACCCUCCCUGGCCUGGACCUUGCUCCCCAAGGGCCGGCCGGUUGGGGCGGGUGGGACCCUAGGCUGGACCGCAGCUUGGAACUGUCGUGUCACGUGACCUGAUUGCCCUGCACAGGGGAACCCUUGGCACUCAGAACCCCAGGGGGGCUCGUGGGAGCCCGCAGCCCCACCUGACUUCCCUGGGCUGUACAGGACCUGCCUCACCCUACUGGUCCAAGUGGUUGCAGGAACCAAGACUGUUCACUUUCUUUUCUUUUCUAAGAUUUAUUUAUUAUGUACACAUUGUCUGCGACAGAAGAGGGACCAGGUCUCAUUACAGAUGGCUGUGAGCCACCAUGUCGUUGCUGGGAAUUGAACUCAGGACCUCUGGAAGAGCAGCCAUCUCUCCAGCCCGCCUGUUCACUUUCGGGGACACUGACCCUCCCUCCAUGCCGUCUUGGCUCCUCCCCACUUUGCGGUUCAGUGCAGUGUCUUAUUUAUAACCUGUUACCUCGUAAUGGGAGCAAAAGACAGCUCCACGUGGUGCCUGUAGCAGUCUGAGGCAACCUUUCAAACACUUCCGCUCCGAUGGAGCCAGGAUUCGGGGAUGGGGUUUAUUAAGAUGAGGUUUUUUUUUUUUUUUUUUUUUUUUUUUUUUAAAGAGAUUUAAGCACUAACGGUGCUCUGGGAAACAUAGUACACAUCCAGACGUGGGUGUGUCCCGCUUUGAGGGACUAGCAGUAACCAUAUAUGCAAUGUUUGGUGGGUCUUGAGCUUUAAUUGCUCAAAACAUUUGGAAGUGACACCCCCUACGCCUCAGCCCUUCAGUAAAGAAGACUUCAGAGCUAGCAGUUCCCGAGGUGGUUUGGGUAGGAUGACAGUCUGAUGUGGUAAAACCAUAGUUCCAAAGGUUGCACACAGGGUAAGCCAUAUCUGCUACCAUCACGGGGUUUUAAACCUUGCCUGUGAGAUUCCUAGAAAAUUGCAGGUUUAUAUCUGGGGAGAGAAUGAGGCCAAACUCAGAGGUCAUGUACUCUUGGGUCUCAAGCCUGGUUUAUUGCUGGGUUAUUAUUUGAUAUCUCUGUAUAAAGGGGAUAUUGUCUCUGCAAAGACAGCAAGUUUUAUGAACCAGGCUGGAAUUCUUGACUUAGCAAAAGACUUUGCCACAUCCCAUAGUGUCUGUCUUCCUAGCCUAUCUCAAGCUGACAGCAAAGCUAUGGACACAGGUUCAUUAUGAAUUUAGUUCUAAACUCACUGUGGGGGCACACACCUAUAACCUGCACCCAAGGGGCUGAGAGGCUGAAGCAGGAAAGUCUCCACAAGUUUGAGGCCAGCCUGGUUUGCAUGUUAAUGCUUAAAUCUUUUUUUUUUUUAAUCUUAUUUUAACAGGGUGGUGGUGGUGCACACCUUUAAUGUCAGCACUCAGGAGCCAGGGAGGCAGGCUUAUCUCGGAGUUCCGGGAACAAAGUGAGUUCCAGGACAGCCAGGGCUACCCACACACACACACACACACACACAUUCUUAUCUUAAUGAACUACAUCUCUGAAUCAUUCCAAUCCAGUCUAGACUACAGCUGGGACUCCUUAGGGUAAGUACUUGUUUUGCAAGCAUGAGGAGCUGAGUUUAGAUCCCCAGCACCAUGGAAAGGCCAAGUGUGGAAACAGGCAGAUCCUGGCCAGUUUAGCCAAUCAGUGAGCUCCAGGUUCUACGAGAGACUGUUUCAAAAAAAAAAAAAAAAAAACAAGACGGAGGGCUGGUGAGAUAUCUCAGUGAGUAAUGGCUCCUGAUGCUUGAGUUCAGUCCCAGGAAACUUACAUGUUGGAAGGAAAAACUGAUUCCUGCAACCUAACCUAACCUAAACACAUUACACACACACACACACACAGAGAGAGAGAGAGAGAGAGAGAGAGAGAGAGAGAGAGAGAGAGAGAGAGCACAAAUAAAUGAAAAAACAAAGCAAAGUGGAGAAGCAAUUAAGGAAAAAGCCAUUCUGAGCUCUGCGUGUGCACAAAUAGACACGUACCUUCACAUACAUGCAUAUGACACGCAAAACUCAACCUGAAUGUGUAGCCUCUUUUCAAGUCACAUCUACCCUUCUUUCUAACUGCAUACUGGGCAGGGUGCUUGCACCUUUAAUUCCAGCUAUCUGUCCCACAGAUUCUCUGAGAUCAAAUAUUGCCUGCAUAAUUUAAAAAACUAAAUUACAGCCCGGCAGUGGUGGCACACGUCUUUAAUCCCAGCACUCAGGAGGCAGCCAGAUCUCUCUGUGAGUUUCAGGUCAGCAGGGUUACAUAGUCAGACCUUGUCUCAAUGUUAAGUCAAUAGAAACAACUAUUCUAGAAGGUCCUUCUUUAGGAAGGAAAACAGGGACACUUAACAGGAAAUAAGCAAAGAUUAUCGAAGAUAUUCCAUAAUGGCCUCAAAUUCAGAUAGUCAAAGUAGUCACUUAUGUGGCAAGUUACAUUCCUGGAUGUAAAGACAGGUCUUGUGUGGGGAAGCUGGAAGGGCACCCUUGGGGAGAAAUCAGGCCUAGGUGCUGGGAUCUGCCAUUCCAGCCCCUGAAGUUUCCCACUAAGAAAAAAGAGUGAAGAAUGUAAGACACCUCCACUCAGUAUUGCUGCGUGCAAGGCACUACCUAGCCAGAGUUUAGACCUUGUGGGACAAUGACAAAACAGUUCCAGCCCACGGUGCCCGCAGAGGCUGCUUAGACAAGCUGACCCCACUCCUUCGUUUUCAGUUCAGCUGCUGUUGGAUGUUUCUGUGCCAGCUGUAAGAAAGAGCCUGGUCUGUGUCUGGUCAGGGACACUAAGCUGCUGUAGGACUCUCUCUCUGAGGAAGGGCCUGCAGGACCUUGUGGUCAGUGGGAGGAAGCCGGGGCAGCCCCAAGACUUGGCAUGGAAGUUUCACCUGCCUCUGCCCCUCCCCGCUGCACUGCUGUCUGAAGUUUGAACUGUGGGCUCAUGUAAUUUAGUUUUUUAAAUGGUGCAGACAAUAUUUGAAUCUCCUCAGAGAUUCUGUGGGACAGAUAGCUGAAAAACUAACUCCUGGCCCUCAAGUGACUGAUGCCAUAGACCCCUAGAUGAGUUAAAGGCCAUUCCCAGGAUUCUGACGAUCAUUUGACAGGGGCCCCUGCCGUGGCCUCCUCUCAUACAAUCUUUGCUGAUGGGCUCAUCUGCCUGAAACCUGUGGCUGGAACCUCCAUUUUGUGUCUUUGGGGGACCUGGGUAGGGGUGCAGCCCUGACCCUUCCUUGGGGCUGACAAAGUUGUGCUUGUGGCUCACAGUGAACGUUUGGACAAGCAAAAUCAGUGUGUCAAGGCAAGGGUUUGUUUUGUUUUGUUGUUUUAGUUUUUGGAGACAGGGUUUCUGUGUAGCUUUGGAGCCUGUCCUGGCUCCUGCUCUGGAGACCAGGCUGGCCUCGAACUCACAGAGAUCCGCCAAGGCAAGGGUUUUAUUUGCAGCCAAUGUGGGUAUUUAACUGCAGAACCCCUCAGGAGGGCUGGGAGAGUGCCCCUUCCACUUUUGGAGUGUGACACCCAAACUGCAGCAAAACCUGGAGCUUCCUGACGAGAUUACGACCAACACAGGUGGACACAGAGAGAGAACAGCAGCCUCCUAGUGCUACGCCGUACCUGUGUCUACCCUCCCUCUGUGUCUCUCAACACAGAAGUGAUAAUGCCUGUGAAAUCAGACUGUGGAAGUUGCCAUGGUUUCAGUUCCCCCUUCUCCAUAAGGACAGCACCUGGUAGUGCGCCGACCCUAACCCUAACCUAGCCCUAGCCCCAGCCUGGCCACACCCCGCAUGGGAGACCCUGAGCCAAAACCACCCCAGUCUGCCGACUGCCCACUCUCAAACGCUGUGUGAGGUAACAGAUGUCUGUUUCAAGCUCCAGGGCUGUAAGGUCAUUUGUUGCCUGGCAGUAACGAGCUGACACACCAUCUGCAUUGGGGUAUGUUUCUUUACUGUAAUAAAAGACGGGAGACGGCUCACUGUGGAAAGACAAAAGCUUCGUGGACAGUUUUGGAGGCUGGAGGGCGUGGCAUUGGCAUCCACUCUGCUCUGGGGAGGGCUCUGUGGCUGAGCGUGCGCGCGCGAGUCUGUGCGCGUAGGCGUGUGUGUGUUCCCGUGUGUGUGUUCCCCAGUGUGUGUGUGUGUGCGCGCGCGAGUCUGUGUGCGCGUAGGCGUGUGUGUGCUCGCGUGUGUGUGUGCGCGAGAGAAUCUGAGUGCGUGUAGGUGGGUGUGUGUGUUCUCGUGUGUGUGUUCCCGUGUGUGUGUGCGCGAGAGAGUCUGUGUGUGUUCCCCAGUGUGUGUUCCCGUGUGUGUGUGUGCGCGAGAGAAUCUGUGUGCGUGUAGGUGUGUGUGUGUGUGUGUGUGUGUGCUCGUGUGUGUGCGUGUGUUCCCCAGUGUGUGUGAGCACGUGUGUAGCACUCACUCACACAAGUUAAUACACAGCUCUCUAGCUCCCAGAAUUGUGAACCACACCACACCACACCACACCACACGGAAACUGAGGCCUGGAGGCGCGGACUUGACUGACGAGCCGGGGCGGCCUGGCGCUGGCUCCACUGCGGCUCACACACCCGCGGCUGGGCGUGGCGGGCGUCCAUCCUGCCCGGCAGCAGCACGAGCCAAUCAGAGCACAGCUGCCUGCCCCGCACUGUGAUUGGUUCGGGCCGCGCGGACGUCGCCCAAUCACAGGAAAGAUCUCUGACGGCGGCGUUGCCUGGAGCCCCGGCUUUUGUUCCUGCGGGGUCCGGGGCCGCCGGGGCGGGCGCGGGGCUCCGAGGGGGCGGGGCGGGGCCGCGGAAGCGGAAGGGCGCUGUGGCUGCAGGAAAGCUAGCCCGGUGCUCGACCCCUGAGCUCGAGGCCCAGGGUGGGAGCCGCCCCCGGAAGCGGCCCCGAUCACCCCGAGCCGCUAGCCGUGCUGGCUGGAUGCUCGCCGGCCGGCCGCGCCCCCUGCCGUAGUUCUCCGUCCUUUGGAGCCGGCCUCCCUGUGGGUGGCAGGUUGGCUUAGCGCUCACUCCGCAGCCCCGGAUUUCAACAAUUUCCCGCCCAGCCUCCCCAGUGCGGCCGUGUACCCCGCGCCCGCCUCCGGGCUUGCUUUGUCUUAGAGGCCACAGGGCUGGCGAGGGCUCAGCGGCCUGGGGUCAGGUGGGGGUGCACACUCAGCCUCUGCGAGCCGGCGCCUGUCCCGCAGGCUGUCCCCCCCUCUGCCACACAGCUGGGACCCGCCACCCGCAGGCAAGGUGCUCAUGCUUUCUGCGAGCCCCGGCUCUCACCGCAGACGCAGGCCCAGGAAGCGGCUCUGCGAGGCUCCAGGAACGAAUUUGUUUGCAGAGGACCCAGUACCCAUUAGCGGGAGAUUCAAUUUACAAGAAUUCUUUUUCUCACAUAAUUAUCGGUGGAGUGGGUGGG